rnacentral:rRNA from 1 species
UAGGGAAUAUUGCGCAAUGGGCGAAAGCCUGACGCAGCCAUGCCGCGUGGAUGAUGAAGGCCUUCGGGUCGUAAAGUCCUUUUCUGAGGGAAGAACUGCCGGGGGAGGAAAUGCCCUUGGCUUGACGGUACCUCAGGAAUAAGCAACGGCUAACUCCGUGCCAGCAGCCGCGGUAAUACGGAGGUUGCAAGCGUUGUUCGGAAUGACUGGGCGUAAAGGGAGCGCAGGCGGCCAAGUCAGUCUGAAGUGAAAGCCCGGGGCUUAACCCCGGAAUAGCUUUGGAUACUGCCUGGCUUGAGUGUGCGAUAGGAAAGCGGAAUUCCAGGUGUAGCGGUGAAAUGCGUAGAUAUCUGGAGGAACACCGGUGGCGAAAGCGGCUUUCUGGCCCUAUACUGACGCUGAGACGCGAGAGCGUGGGUAGCAAACAG